rfam:Serendipita vermifera MAFF 305830 unplaced genomic scaffold scaffold_37, whole genome shotgun sequence.
GCUCCAUUAGCCCAAUGGUAGGGCGUUAGACUUCUAAAUAGGGAUAUUUGGUGAUCUAAAGGUUGUGGGUUCGAGUCCCACAUGGAGCU